AUCAGGUCUGUGGUUGCAAGUCGAGGCCAGUCGCAGGCAAAACGAUCCACAUAAGGUAUCAAAAUUGGAUACUGAGCAUGGUGCGGCUUAGAAGUAAGACCUGCCGGUAAAAAACCGAGAGAGCUAAUAGUGAGAGGAAAAUCACCGGGUAGCGAACGCUCCAGCAGGCGAGUGUGGGGGCAAAAACCAGGUCAGCUGAA
rnacentral:ncRNA from 1 species